UGGGGAAUAUUGGACAAUGGGGGGAACCCUGAUCCAGCCAUGCCGCGUGUGUGAAGAAGGCCUUAUGGUUGUAAAGCACUUUAAGCGAGGAGGAGGGUACUGGUAUUAAUACCUAGAGAUAGUGGACGUUACUCGCAGAAUAAGCACCGGCUAACUCUGUGCCAGCAGCCGCGGUAAUACAGAGGGUGCAAGCGUUAAUCGGAUUUACUGGGCGUAAAGCGCGCGUAGGCGGCUAAUUAAGUCAAAUGUGAAAUCCCCGAGCUUAACUUGGGAAUUGCAUUCGAUACUGGUUAGCUAGAGUGUGGGAGAGGAUGGUAGAAUUCCAGGUGUAGCGGUGAAAUGCGUAGAGAUCUGGAGGAAUACCGAUGGCGAAGGCAGCCAUCUGGCCUAACACUGACGCUGAGGUGCGAAAGCAUGGGGAGCAAACAGG
rnacentral:rRNA from 1 species